rnacentral:rRNA from 1 species
GACGAACGCUGGCGGCGUGCUUAACACAUGCAAGUCGAACGAAGAGGCGAACGGGUGAGUAACGCGUAAUCAACCUGCCCUUCAGAGGGGGACAACAGUUGGACACGACUGCUAAUACCGAAUACUGUAGGAGGGCACGGCGUCUGGUUAGUUAGUUGGCGGGGUAACGGCCCACCAAGGCGAUGAUCAGUAGCCGGUCCGGGAAGAUGAACGGCCACAUUGGGACUGAGACACGGCCCAGACUCCUACGGGAGGCAGCAGUGGGGGAUCUUCCGCAAUGGACGAAAGUCUGACGGGGCAACGCCGCGUGGGUGAUGACGGCCUUCGGGUUGUAAAGCUCUGUUAAUCGGGACGCGGUACCGGAAUAGAAAGCCACGGCUAACUACGUGCCAGCAGCCGCGGUAAUAC